CCUACGGGCGGCAGCAGUGAGGAAUAUUGGUCAAUGGACGCAAGUCUGAACCAGCCAUGCCGCGUGCAGGAAGACGGCUCUAUGAGUUGUAAACUGCUUUUGUACGAGGGUAAAUCCCGAUACGUGUAUCGGGUUGAAAGUAUCGUACGAAUAAGGAUCGGCUAACUCCGUGCCAGCAGCCGCGGUAAUACGGAGGAUUCAAGCGUUAUCCGGAUUUAUUGGGUUUAAAGGGUGCGUAGGCGGUUCGAUAAGUUAGCGGUGAAAUCCCGGGGCUCAACUCCGGCACUGCCUCUGAUACUGGCGGGCUAGAGUUUGGGUGCGGUAGGCGGAAUGUGUGGUGUAGCGGUGAAAUGCAUAGAGAUCAUGCAGAACACCGAUUGCGAAGGCAGCAUACC
rnacentral:rRNA from 1 species